rnacentral:rRNA from 1 species
UAAGGGCGCACGGUGGAUGCCUUGGCACUAGAAGCCGAUGAAGGACGUUACUAACGACGAUAUGCUUUGGGGAGCUGUAAGUAAGCUUUGAUCCAGAGAUUUCCGAAUGGGGAAACCCAGCAUGAGUUAUGUCAUGUUAUCGAUAUGUGAAUACAUAGCAUAUCAGAAGGCACACCCGGAGAACUGAAACAUCUUAGUACCCGGAGGAAGAGAAAGAAAAUUCGAUUCCCUUAGUAGCGGCGAGCGAAACGGGAAGAGCCCAAACCAACAAGCUUGCUUGUUGGGGUUGUAGGACACUCUAUACGGAGUUACAAAGGACGACAUUAGACGAAUCAUCUGGAAAGAUGAAUCAAAGAAGGUAAUAAUCCUGUAGUCGAAAAUGUUGUCUCUCUUGAGUGGAUCCUGAGUACGACGGAGCACGUGAAAUUCCGUCGGAAUCUG